rnacentral:rRNA from 1 species
GAUGAACGCUGGCGGCGUGCCUAAUACAUGCAAGUCGAGCGAACAGACGAGGAGCUUGCUCCUCUGACGUUAGCGGCGGACGGGUGAGUAACACGUGGAUAACCUACCUAUUAGACUGGGAUCACUUCGGGAAACCGGAGCUAAUACCGGAUAAUAUAUUGAACCGCAUGGUUCAAUAGUGAAAGACGGUUUUGCUGUCACUUAUAGAUGGAUCCGCGCCGCAUUAGCUAGUUGGUAAGGUAACGGCUUACCAAGGCAACGAUGCGUAGCCGACCUGAGAGGGUGAUCGGCCACACUGGAACUGAGACACGGUCCAGACUCCUACGGGAGGCAGCAGUAGGGAAUCUUCCGCAAUGGGCGAAAGCUUGACGGAGCAACGCCGCGUGAGUGAUGAAGGUCUUCGGAUCGUAAAACUCUGUUAUUAGGGAAGAAAAAAUGUGUAAGUAACUAUGCACGUCUUGACGGUACCUAAUCAGAAAGCCACGGCUAACUACGUG